AGUAACGCGUGAGUAACCUGCCUCUAAGAGGGGAAUAACAUUCUGAAAAGAAUGCUAAUACCGCAUAACAUAUAUUUAUCGCGUGGUAGAUAUAUCAAAGAUUUAUCGCUUAGAGAUGGACUCGCGUCCGAUUAGUUAGUUGGUGAGGUAACGGCUCACCAAGACUGCGAUCGGUAGCCGGACUGAGAGGUUGAACGGCCACAUUGGGACUGAGACACGGCCCAG
rnacentral:rRNA from 1 species